rnacentral:rRNA from 1 species
UACGUAGGGUGCAAGCGUUGUCCGGAAUUAUUGGGCGUAAAGGGCUCGUAGGCGGUCCAUCGCGUCGGGAGUGAAAAGCUGGGGCUUAACCCCAGUCCUGCUUCCGAUACGGGUGGACUAGAGGUAGGUAGGGGAGAUCGGAAUUCCUGGUGUAGCGGUGAAAUGCGUAGAUAUCAGGAGGAACACCGAUGGCGAAGGCAGGUCUCUGGGCUGACACUGACGUCAUGCACGAAAGCGUGGGGAGCAAACAGG